rnacentral:rRNA from 1 species
CACUGCCGAGAAAAGCCUCUAGAUAGAAAAUAGGUGCCCGUACCGCAAACCGACACAGGUAGUCAAGAUGAGAAUUCUAAGGUGAGCGAGCGAACUCUCGUUAAGGAACUCGGCAAAAUGACCCCGUAACUUCGGGAGAAGGGGUGCUCUUUAGGGUUAACGCCCAGAAGAGCCGCAGUGAAUAGGCCCAAGCGACUGUUUAUCAAAAACACAGGUCUCUGCUAAACCGUAAGGUGAUGUAUAGGGGCUGACGCCUGCCCGGUGCUGGAAGGUUAAGAGGAGUGGUUAGCUUCUGCGAAGCUACGAAUCGAAGCCCCAGUAAACGGCGGCCGUAACUAUAACGGUCCUAAGGUAGCGAAAUUCCUUGUCGGGUAAGUUCCGACCCGCACGAAAGGCGUAACGAUUUGGGCACUGUCUCAACGAGAGACUCGGUGAAAUCAUAGUACCUGUGAAGAUGCAGGUUACCCGCGACAGGACGGAAAGACCCCGUGGAGCUUUACUGUAGCCUGAUAUUGAAAUUCGGCACAGCUUGUACAGGAUAGGUAGGAGCCUUUGAAACGUGAGCGCUAGCUUACGUGGAGGCGCUGGUGGGAUACUACCCUAGCUGUGUUGGCUUUCUAACCCGCACCACUUAUCGUGGUGGGAGACAGUGUCAGGCGGGCAGUUUGACUGGGGCGGUCGCCUCCUAAAAGGUAACGGAGGCGCUCAAAGGUUCCCUCAGAAUGGUUGGAAAUCAUUCAUAGAGUGUAAAGGCAUAAGGGAGCUUGACUGCGAGACCUACAAGUCGAGCAGGGUCGAAAGACGGACUUAGUGAUCCGGUGGUUCCGCAUGGAAGGGCCAUCGCUCAACGGAUAAAAGCUACCCCGGGGAUAACAGGCUUAUCUCCCCCAAGAGUUCACAUCGACGGGGAGGUUUGGCACCUCGAUGUCGGCUCAUCGCAUCCUGGGGCUGUAGUCGGUCCCAAGGGUUGGGCUGUUCGCCCAUUAAAGCGGUACGCGAGCUGGGUUCAGAACGUCGUGAGACAGUUCGGUCCCUAUCCGUCGUGGGCGUAGGAAAUUUGAGAGGAGCUGUCCUUAGUACGAGAGGACCGGGAUGGACAUACCUCUGGUGUACCAGUUGUCGUGCCAACGGCAUAGCUGGGUAGCUAUGUGUGGACGGGAUAAGUGCUGAAAGCAUCUAAGCAUGAAGCCCCCCUCAAGAUGAGAUUUCCCAACUUCGGUUAUAAGAUCCCUCAAAGAUGAUGAGGUUAAUAGGUUCGAGGUGGAAGCAUGGUGACAUGUGG